UCUCAAACCCUAAAAACUCACUAAACUUGCAAAUUGAAGGCUCAAUCCAAGUCGAAAUCGAAAUUAAAGUGUAGAUUAUUGAUCCUCAUCACAAGAGGAUUACAAGUUUGACGCUUGACAAGCUAGGUGAAGGCUUGGAAAGGAAGCGGGUCAAACGAAGCAAAUAAGAAGGAAAAGCAUACUUCGGAUGCGAGGGAUCUAG
rnacentral:lncRNA from 1 species